rnacentral:lncRNA from 1 species
AUUGGCCGGCCUCUUUUAGAGAAAAAAAGAGAAAGUGUUUCUCAUCUUUGUCUCAAGAAAACCCUAAUGAGGUAAACGCUAUAAAGAUGCUUUUAAAUCUCUUUUCUUAGGUGAGUGGCAAACUUGCAAUUAAGCAAAACUUCCCACUACCCUUGCUAUGGCUGGCCAUCUUGUGUGAUUGGGCUAUUUGCCCAUAUUUGUUUUAGUUCUCAUACAACUUAAACAUAAUGGACCUAGUGGACCCCAAAGCCCAAAACUAACUUAAAAGCCCAAUACGAACCUUUCGUAUAAUUAAUCAACUAAUUAAUUAACCUUGACCAUUUUCAAUUAAACAAUUUAAUUGCUUAUCCAUUUCAUUUAUAUUUCUUCACUUUCAUCCUUACUCGGUGUACGAUCCAUUAGGUUCCAAUUAGCAAGGCAGUGGGCGAUUGUUACUCUUAACAAUCGAUUGUGAAUUGAAACUUCAUUUCAAUUCUCCUUUUGAUUAAGAUUAGUGUUUGCUAAUCUUCAGGGCUUCCACAAAUCAUGAGUGACACCUAGCAGCAUGUCAUGGCU